rnacentral:lncRNA from 1 species
ACAACCACCACCGCAACACCUCAAACAAAUCACUGCCACCACGCAAACACCAGAUCCUUCAAGAUCCACCACGCAAACACCAGAUCUGCCACCUCCACCAUCAUCCCAGAUCCACAACCACCUCACCAGGAAAACACUACCACAUCACUGUAAUAUACCACCAUUUCUUAAAACCACCAGAUCCGUCGAGAUCCACCACACAAACAUCAGAUCUGUCACAUUUCCACACUAUCCCAGAGUCAUGACCACCUCACCAGAAAAUACCUCCAUGUCACAGUAAUAUAAAGGAAUGACGAAGAAAAGAUGGGAGACGAUAGUGGUACACGGUGAUGGUCCAUGCUGUGCAGCGGGUUUGGAGGUGGUCGUCGACUGGGGCAGCUACGGUGAGAGCUAGUGUGGAGGAAGAGGGAAGAGAGAGAAAGGAGAGAAAGAGAGGAGGGAGGCGACGGUGGUAUGGAG